UCACCUCUUUAAAAACCUUAUUUCCAGAUAGAUACACAUUCUGAGGUACCAGGACUUAAGCAUCUGAACUUAGGGGAAGGGGGCACAGUUUAGUCCAUAACAGCUACAAAUAAAUGAUGCGUGGGGUCUUUUUACUGGGUCAAAUAGUCAGUUGGCAGAGCAAUAAAAAGUAG